AUCCAGAGAAUGAAUAUUAUAUUAGAAGCAAUAAAGCAAACUCCCUUAAACUAACCCAUACAUGUGUCUCAGUCCUGACCUGAAGGGGAAUACCUCCAGAGAU
rnacentral:sRNA from 12 species